GACUCGUAGCAGAUAGCUCAGUAACACGUGGCCAAACUACCCUAUGGAUCCGAAUAACCUCGGGAAACUGAGGCUAAUGCGGAAUAGCGUUCAUCGCCUGGAGUGGCACGAACGCGAAACGUUACGGCGCCAUAGGAUGUGGCUGCGGCCGAUUAGGUAGACGGUGGGGUAACGGCCCACCGUGCCCAUAAUCGGUACGGGUUGUGAGAGCAAGAGCCCGGAGACGGUAUCUGAGACAAGAUACCGGGCCCUACGGGGCGCAGCAGGCGCGAAACCUUUACACUGCACGCGAGUGCGAUAAGGGGACUCCGAGUGCGAGGGCAUAUAGUCCUCGCUUUUCACGACCGUAAGGUGGUCGUAGAAUAAGUGCUGGGCAAGACCGGUGCCAGCCGCCGCGGUAAUACCGGCAGCACGAGUGAUGACCGCUAUUAUUGGGCCUAAAGCGUCCGUAGCUGGCCACGCAAGUCUAUCGGGAAAUCCGCGCGCUUAACGCGCGGGCGUCCGGUGGAAACUGCGU
rnacentral:rRNA from 1 species